rnacentral:lncRNA from 1 species
UAGAAACUGUGCCAGAUCAAGACUGGAGCCUGGUGCAGCUAUCUUGUUUGCCAGCCCACAAUCAAAAUUGUCCAACCCAUGCUAGCACGGAAAGCAGAUGUUAAACGAUGAUGAUGAUGAUGUACAUAACAGACAACAGAACUACCAGAGAAAAGAGUAAACUGUUUUUUAUUUGUUCUUAAAAUGUUUUUGUUUAGUUGGUUUUUGUGUAGAGGUUAGAUGGGGGUGGGGAGAGAAUAAUGAUUUACAUUGAAUCACUGAAACAUACAAAAGGAGAACUUAAAAUAUACAACUGAAGACAUUUUACUGAGGGGUGGGUGAUAGGUGGUGUCUUAGUAAAGUGGGGGGGGGACAGACAUGUAUGUAUAAAAUGUGAAAAAGUUAAAGAAAUUGUUUUGUUUUUUUUUUGUUAAAAAGAGAAUAUUUAAGACUUGGAUUAAUUGAAAUGUAUUUUAAUAUGUAAUAUGUAAAACUAUUAACAUUACAGACAUCAAUGCUGGCAUCAUAAAACCCCAAAAAAAAAAAAAAUUUACCAGCAAUCUAAGGCCCAUAGUCACUGGUGUAUUAUGAAUUAUGAACUGGUUUGAAACCAGUCCCUUCAGUCACUGACAAAUGUUUAGUAUUUUAGUCACAAGUAAAGGAGGUAGUGAGUCUUCAGAAACGUAGACUAUACUCUAAUUUGGAUACAAUGAUAGAAUAUUCUAGGAUUUAACUAGGGCAGUAAACAAAUCUUUUAGCUUGUUGUCUAGUACUGCCAUUUACAAAGGCGAAAAGCAAAAUCUAUUUAGAUUGUGUCUAAAUCUGCCAAAGGCAUAUUAAAUUGAUAGAAACAUUUACAAUAUAUGAAUAUAUCAAAGUUCAUUUAGGGGGAGAAAAAAAAGUCCCCACAAUAACAAAACAUUUGAUCAUAUUGGAGUAUUUUUAUGGAUUGAAGUUUAUUUGAAUAGAAGAAGAAGAAAGAAAAAAAAGCUGUGAUGGUGUUUAAGUUCUUAAUCCUAAAUUAAUUCUGAUACAUCAAUAAUGUCUUAAAAUAUUCAUCAUAGUGUUCACUAGUGUUGGUUUUUUAAUUAUUAAGUAUAUAUAUAUAUUUGUAUGUGUUUGUGUGUGGACAUAUAUAUGUAUGUAUAAUUUGCACAUGUCUGUAAUUCUAUGUAGACAUGUAAGUCUAUUUUAAUUAUAUAAUUUACGAGUGUACAUGUGUUUCCAUGGGAAACAAAUUGUCAGUAAUAUUCUGAAGGACUUUCAUCCAUAGACAGACGGACAACUAAAUGGUGAAGAAUAUCCUGAUGACUUAAAAUCUUUGUCAAUUUUUAUUUGUUGAACAUUUUCACUCAGAUUACAAAUGUCAGUAGGAAGUGUUCAUAUUUGCAUUGGAUAUAGUGAGAUCAGGUUUGUUAAUAAGUCCAGGUAACAGCAAACAGUGUGUGUGUGUGGUGUGUGUGUGUGUUAAGAUAAUUAUUCUGACAACCCAACAGAGUUCCUGUUUUGUAUAACACAAGAGGAGGGGCUAAUUGGUACACAUCCACUACGGUAAUUAUUAAAUAGGAAUCAUAAAAAAUAACGAACAAGAUAUGUUUAAUUUUCAAGAAAAAGAAGAGGAGGAACAAAUUUAAAAUAUAAAUAUAUGACUGUUUUUUUUUAAGAAAAAGAAAAGGAAUAAAAAUGUUUCUAUGUAAACCUGGAAUAAAAUCAGAGAUUACGAGGGUUUUACGAGAAGGGGUAGGGAUCGUUUUAUGAUUUUUUUUCCUUACAGGAAGAAGCAAAGAAGAAAUCUGAUAGUUUGAAAACACAGUGAAUCUACUUGAAAAGCUAUAUUUUUAUCGUCCAUACCACUACCUGGUAUUCUACAAUAUCUAAAGACAGCCAAGUUGAAACUAAUUCAGUGUGACCCCACUGAUGGAUCAUCUACAGAAAUGCUACACUGAAGUAGCGUAGCAUUACUUCACCAGGAAAAACAUGAAAGCUAGUUCAGUUGAACAGCAGGAUCAAUAACCGGUUGUUAGAACUAAGAUCCAGUGAUGAGGUGGGAUGGAUUCACUGAUAUCCUCACCUCUGAACUCAUAUAAGAACUAGAAGAUGCCAAAAUACCUUGAUUGAUUGGGAAACAACUUCUGAACAAUUUUGAGUUAGUUUUGGUCAAUAGAAAUUAUUUUUUUUUAAAAUGGCACUAAACAGAAGAAACAAUGGAAUAUUUAAACUCUACACACGAUUAAUCUUCCCUUAAACUGCUUUACUAAUUCUGAAGAAUUUGAAAUUAAGAAUGCAAGACUUUUUAAAUAAAAGCCAUUUAUUUAUAGUUAAUGAUAAACAGAAUUUAAUUAAGACCACAGUUCAAUUAAUUCUAAAGUGGUAACUCUGUGAUUUACUGCUGAAUUAAAUUUGAAAGUUUCAUAGAAUAAAUUUGAAAGACUGUUUGUAUUAAAAUUUUUCAAUUGUAUGUGUUAUGUGUAUGUAGCAAGAUCUGUUGCAACUGGAUGUAUAUAAUUGUACAUUGUAAAAUCAUUACAUGAAAUUUUAAUGGCAAGUUAAAAAAAAAAAAAUUAGAUGUGUAGAUGAUCUGUAGUAGAAAAUGGUUAAAUAAUAGUAUAAUGGUUUCUUAAUAAUAAUAAGGUCAAAAAUCAAUGGUUGAAGAUGAAAAGGAUUUAGAAUUCAGAAGACAUGAUUCAAAAUAAAACAACAAAGCAACAAUUACACAGUACAAAAAAAAAAAAAAACUACCUCAAUUCACUCUCAGAAUGAUAUAUUUUAGCACACACACACACACACACACACAUUCUUACUAUUUCUCUCUCUCUCUCUCUCUCUCUCUCUUACACUGAUACACACAUUACCCCCCCCCCCACACACACACACACCUCGACCAGUCAAAUACUUUACAUUCACAUGAGCAGAGUGGAGAGAUGAAGACAAACAAAACGGUAAAUGUGAUUCCAUCUUUGGUUGAGAUUGCAUCUAGAAUGAUCUUUGAGUCUUUGGUAAAAAAUUCAUAAUGGCUGAUAUUUUUAGUUUCCAUUAAACAAAACAAAAAAAAACAUUAAGAAAUGAAAUACUGACUCUGUGGA